rnacentral:rRNA from 1 species
UACGAAGGGUGCAAGCGUUACUCGGAAUUACUGGGCGUAAAGCGUGCGUAGGUGGUUCGUUAAGUCUGUCGUGAAAGCCCCGGGCUCAACCUGGGAAUGGCGAUGGAUACUGGCGGGCUAGAGUGCGGUAGAGGAGAGUGGAAUUCCCGGUGUAGCAGUGAAAUGCGUAGAGAUCGGGAGGAACAUCAGUGGCGAAGGCGGCUCUCUGGACCAGCACUGACACUGAGGCACGAAAGCGUGGGGAGCAAACAGG